AAAUUGAAGAGUUUGAUCAUGGCUCAGAUUGAACGCUGGCGGCAGGCCUAACACAUGCAAGUCGAACGGUAACAGGAAGCAGCUUGCUGCUUUGUUGACGAGUGGCGGACGGGUGAGUAAUGUCUGGGAAACUGCCUGAUGGAGGGGGAUAACUACUGGAAACGGUGGCUAAUACCGCAUAACGUCGCAAGACCAAAGAGGGGGACCUUCGGGCCUCUUGCCAUCAGAUGUGCCCAGAUGGGAUUAGCUUGUUGGUGAGGUAACGGCUCACCAAGGCGACGAUCCCUAGCUGGUCUGAGAGGAUGACCAGCCACACUGGAACUGAGACACGGUCCAGACUCCUACGGGAGGCAGCAGUGGGGAAUAUUGCACAAUGGGCGCAAGCCUGAUGCAGCCAUGCCGCGUGUAUGAAGAAGGCCUUCGGGUUGUAAAGUACUUUCAGCGGGGAGGAAGGUGUUGUGGUUAAUAACCGCAGCAAUUGACGUUACCCGCAGAAGAAGCACCGGCUAACUCCGUGCCAGCAGCCGCGGUAAUACGGAGGGUGCAAGCGUUAAUCGGAAUUACUGGGCGUAAAGCGCACGCAGGCGGUCUGUCAAGUCGGAUGUGAAAUCCCCGGGCUCAACCUGGGAACUGCAUUCGAAACUGGCAGGCUUGAGUCUUGUAGAGGGGGGUAGAAUUCCAGGUGUAGCGGUGAAAUGCGUAGAGAUCUGGAGGAAUACCGGUGGCGAAGGCGGCCCCCUGGACAAAGACUGACGCUCAGGUGCGAAAGCGUGGGGAGCAAACAGGAUUAGAUACCCUGGUAGUCCACGCCGUAAACGAUGUCUACUUGGAGGUUGUGCCCUUGAGGCGUGGCUUCCGGAGCUAACGCGUUAAGUAGACCGCCUGGGGAGUACGGCCGCAAGGUUAAAACUCAAAUGAAUUGACGGGGGCCCGCACAAGCGGUGGAGCAUGUGGUUUAAUUCGAUGCAACGCGAAGAACCUUACCUGGUCUUGACAUCCACGGAACUUUCCAGAGAUGGAUUGGUGCCUUCGGGAACCGUGAGACAGGUGCUGCAUGGCUGUCGUCAGCUCGUGUUGUGAAAUGUUGGGUUAAGUCCCGCAACGAGCGCAACCCUUAUCCUUUGUUGCCAGCG
rnacentral:rRNA from 1 species